rnacentral:tRNA from 1 species
GCGGAUGUGUCGGAACUGGCAGACGAGCUGGUCUUAGAAACCAGUGCAAUUGCGUGCAGGUUCAAGUCCUGUCAUCCGCACCA